rnacentral:piRNA from 1 species
UGAUUUACCAACAUGGAGAAA